ensembl:misc_RNA Y_RNA Y RNA
GCCUUGUCUAAGGGAAGUGGUGUUUACAACUAAUGAUCAUAACCAGUUACAGAUUUCUUUGUAUCUUCUGCACUCCCACUGCUUCACUUGACUAGUCUUAA